UGGGGAAUAUUGGACAAUGGGCGAAAGCCUGAUCCAGCCAUGCCGCGUGUGUGAAGAAGGUCUUCGGAUUGUAAAGCACUUUAAGUUGGGAGGAAGGGCAGUAAGCGAAUACCUUGCUGUUUUGACGUUACCGACAGAAUAAGCACCGGCUAACUCUGUGCCAGCAGCCGCGGUAAUACAGAGGGUGCAAGCGUUAAUCGGAAUUACUGGGCGUAAAGCGCGCGUAGGUGGUUCGUUAAGUUGAAUGUGAAAGCCCCGGGCUCAACCUGGGAACUGCAUCCAAAGCUGGCGAGCUAGAGUAGGGCAGAGGGUGGUGGAAUUUCCUGUGUAGCGGUGAAAUGCGUAGAUAUAGGAAGGAACACCAGUGGCGAAGGCGACCACCUGGGCUCAUACUGACACUGAGGUGCGAAAGCGUGGGGAGCAAGCAGG
rnacentral:rRNA from 1 species